GAUCAUGGCUCAGGAUGAACGCUGGCGGCGUGCUUAACACAUGCAAGUCGAACGAAGCACUUUAGACAGAAGCCUUCGGGCGGAAGACUUUGGUGACUUAGUGGCGGACGGGUGAGUAACGCGUGGGUAACCUGCCCCUGUACCGGGGGACAACAGUUGGAAACGACUGCUAAUACCGCAUAAGCGCACAGCAUCGCAUGAUGCAGUGUGAAAAACUCCGGUGGUACAGGAUGGACCCGCGUCUGAUUAGCUAGUUGGUGAGGUAACGGCUUACCAAGGCAACGAUCAGUAGCCGACUUGAGAGAGUGAUCGGCCACAUUGGGACUGAGACACGGCCCAAACUCCUACGGGAGGCAGCAGUGGGGAAUAUUGCACAAUGGGGGAAACCCUGAUGCAGCGACGCCGCGUGAAGGAAGAAGUAUUUCGGUAUGUAAACUUCUAUCAGCAAGGAAGAAAAUGACGGUACUUGACUAAGAAGCCCCGGCUAAAUACGUG
rnacentral:rRNA from 1 species